GAUGAACGCUGGCGGCGUGCCUAAUGCAUGCAAGUCGAGCGAACAGAUGAGGAGCUUGCUCCUCUGACGUUAGCGGCGGACGGGUGAGUAACACGUGGAUAACCUACCUAUAAGACUGGGAUAACUUCGGGAAACCGGAGCUAAUACCGGAUAAUAUAUUGAACCGCAUGGUUCAAUAGUGAAAGACGGUUUUGCUGUCACUUCUAGAUGGAUCCGCGCCGCAUUAGCUAGUUGGUAAGGUAACGGCUUUCCAAGGCAACGAUGCGUAGCCGACCUGAGAGGGUGGUCGGCCACACUGGAACUGAGACAGCGUCCAGACUACUACGGGAGGCAGCAGUAGGGAAUCUUCCGCAAUGGGCGAAAGCCUGACGGAGCAACGCCGCGUGAGUGAUGAAGGUCUUCGGAUCGUAAAACUCUGUUAUUAGGUAAGAACAAAUGUGUAAGGAACUAUGCACGUCUUGACGGUACCUAAUCAGAAAGCCACGGCUAACUACGUG
rnacentral:rRNA from 1 species